rnacentral:rRNA from 1 species
CGUAGGUGGCAAGCGGUGUCCGGAUUUACUGGGCGUAAAGAGCGCGCAGGUGGUCGUUCAAGUCGCGUGGGAAAGCCCCCGGCUCAACUGGGGAGGGUCACGCGAUACUGAUCGACUCGAAGGCAGGAGAGGGAAGUGGAAUUCCCGGUGUAGUGGUGAAAUGCGUAGAUAUCGGGAGGAACACCAGUGGCGAAGGCGACUUCCUGGCCUGUUCUUGACGCUGAGGCGCGACAGCGUGGGGAGCAAACAGG